rnacentral:rRNA from 1 species
UGCCAGCCGCCGCGGUAAUACGGAGAGUGCAAGCGUUGUUCGGAAUUACUGGGCUUAAAGCGCGUGUAGGCGGGAUGUCAGGUAUUCUGUGAAAGCCCCGGGCUCAACCCGGGAACGGCAGAGUAAACCGGCAUUCUUGAGGCAGGUAGAGGUCAUCGGAACAAGUGGUGGAGCGGUGAAAUGCGUAGAUAUCACUUGGAACGCCGGAGGCGAAAGCGGAUGACUGGACCUGUCCUGACGCUGAGACGCGAAAGCGUGGGUAGCGAACAGGAUUAGAUA